rfam:Pseudomonas fulva 12-X, complete genome.
AUCUAUGGCGGGCCGUGUGAGGCAGGCUUUUGCCUGGCCGGUUCCCUUGGACGCCGGUUUCUCACCCUUGCACGGUCCGCCUCCUAC